UGCCUUCGGGAACUCUGAGACAGGUGCUGCAUGGCUGUCGUCAGCUCGUGUUGUGAAAUGUUGGGUUAAGUCCCGCAACGAGCGCAACCCUUAUCCUUUGUUGCCAGCGGUUAGGCCGGGAACUCAAAGGAGACUGCCAGUGAUAAACUGGAGGAAGGUGGGGAUGACGUCAAGUCAUCAUGGCCCUUACGAGUAGGGCUACACACGUGCUACAAUGGCAUAUACAAAGAGAAGCGACCUCGCGAGAGCAAGCGGACCUCAUAAAGUAUGUCGUAGUCCGGAUUGGAGUCUGCAACUCGACUCCAUGAAGUCGGAAUCGCUAGUAAUCGUGGAUCAGAAUGCCACGGUGAAUACGUUCCCGGGUCUUGUACACA
rnacentral:rRNA from 1 species